AUGAACGCUAGCUACAGGCUUAACACAUGCAAGUCGAGGGGCAGCAUGGUCUUAGCUUGCUAAGGCCGAUGGCGACCGGCGCACGGGUGAGUAACACGUAUCCAACCUGCCGUCUACUCUUGGACAGCCUUCUGAAAGGAAGAUUAAUACAAGAUGGCAUCAUGAGUCCGCAUGUUCACAUGAUUAAAGGUAUUCCGGUAGACGAUGGGGAUGCGUUCCAUUAGAUAGUAGGCGGGGUAACGGCCCACCUAGUCUUCGAUGGAUAGGGGUUCUGAGAGGAAGGUCCCCCACAUUGGAACUGAGACACGGUCCAAACUCCUACGGGAGGCAGCAGUGAGGAAUAUUGGUCAAUGGGCGAGAGCCUGAACCAGCCAAGUAGCGUGAAGGAUGACUGCCCUAUGGGUUGUAAACUUCUUUUAUAAAGGAAUAAAGUCGGGUAUGCAUACCCGUUUGCAUGUACUUUAUGAAUAAGGAUCGGCUAACUCCGUGCCAGCAGCCGCGGUAAUACGGAGGAUCCGAGCGUUAUCCGGAUUUAUUGGGUUUAAAGGGAGCGUAGAUGGAUGUUUAAGUCAGUUGUGAAAGUUUGCGGCUCAACCGUAAAAUUGCAGUUGAUACUGGAUAUCUUGAGUGCAGUUGAGGCAGGCGGAAUUCGUGGUGUAGCGGUGAAAUGCUUAGAUAUCACGAAGAACUCCGAUUGCGAAGGCAGCCUGCUAAGCUGCAACUGACAUUGAGGCUCGAAAGUGUGGGUAUCAAACAGGAUUAGAUACCCUGGUAGUCCACGCCGUAAACGAUGAGUGCUAAGUGUUAGGGGGUUUCCGCCCCUUAGUGCUGCAGCUAACGCAUUAAGCACUCCGCCUGGGGAGUACGGUCGCAAGACUGAAACUCAAAGGAAUUGACGGGGGCCCGCACAAGCGGAGGAACAUGUGGUUUAAUUCGAUGAUACGCGAGGAACCUUACCCGGGCUUAAAUUGCAGAUGAAUUACGGUGAAAGCCGUAAGCCGCAAGGCAUCUGUGAAGGUGCUGCAUGGUUGUCGUCAGCUCGUGCCGUGAGGUGUCGGCUUAAGUGCCAUAACGAGCGCAACCCUUGUUGUCAGUUACUAACAGGUUCUGCUGAGGACUCUGACAAGACUGCCAUCGUAAGAUGUGAGGAAGGUGGGGAUGACGUCAAAUCAGCACGGCCCUUACGUCCGGGGCUACACACGUGUUACAAUGGGGGGUACAGAGGGCCGCUACCACGCGAGUGGAUGCCAAUCCCCAAAACCUCUCUCAGUUCGGACUGGAGUCUGCAACCCGACUCCACGAAGCUGGAUUCGCUAGUAAUCGCGCAUCAGCCACGGCGCGGUGAAUACGUUCCCGGGCCUUGUACACACCGCCCGUCAAGCCAUGGGAGCCGGGGGUACCUGAAGUGUGUAACCGCGAGGAGCGCCCUAGGGUAAAACUGGUGACUGGGGCU
rnacentral:rRNA from 1 species